ACGACCAUAGGGUGUGGAAAACAGGGCUUCCCGUCCGCUCAGCCGUACUUAAGCCACACGCCGGCCGGUUAGUAGUUGGGUGGGUGACCACCGGCGAAUCCCGGCUGUUGUAUGUU
rnacentral:rRNA from 2 species